AGAGGGUGCAAGCGUUGUUCGGAAUUACUGGGCGUAAAGCGUGCGUAGUCGGUAUUGAGAGUCACGGGUGAAAUCCCAGGGCUUAACCCUGGAACUGCCUGUGAGACCUCAGUACUAGAGUGUGAGAGGGGAUAGUGGAAUACCCAGUGUAGCGGUGAAAUGCGUAGAGAUUGGGUGGAACACCGGUGGCGAAGGCGGCUAUCUGGCUCACAACUGACGAUCAGGCACGAAAGCGUGGGGAGCAAACAGGAUUAGAUACCCUGGUAGUCCACGCCGUAAACUAUGCACACAAGCUGUAGUGGGAUUUUACUCCUGCUGUGGCGAASSUAACGCAAUUAGUGUGCCGCCUGGGGAGUACGGUCGCAAGACUA
rnacentral:rRNA from 1 species